rnacentral:tRNA from 1 species
UCACGCCGUCGCCGAUGAGGAACGCGAUCGUGCGGCUGUGAUCCGCGAUCACGCGGUAGGACACCGCGCGGCGCGGG